AACGAACGCUGGCGGCAGGCUUAACACAUGCAAGUCGAACGCCACCUUCGGGUGGAGUGGCAGACGGGUGAGUAACGCGUGGAAACAUACCUUUUGCUUCGGAAUAUUCCCGGGAAACUGGGAGCAAUACCGAAUGUGCCCUGAGGGGGAAAGAUUUAUCGGCAAAAGAUUGGUCCGCGUUAGAUUAGGUAGUUGGUAGGGUAAAGGCCUACCAAGCCUACGAUCUAUAGCUGGUCUGAGAGGAUGAUCAGCCACAUUGGGACUGAGACACGGCCCACACUCCUACUGGAGGCAGCAGUGGGGAAUAUUGGACAAUGGGCGCAAGCCUGAUCCAGCCAUGCCGCGUGAAUGAUGAAGGCCUUAGGGUUGUAAAAUUCUUUCACCGGGGACGAUAAUGCCGGUACCCGGAGAAGAAGCCCCGGCUAACUUCGUGCCAGCCGCCGCAGUAA
rnacentral:rRNA from 1 species